rnacentral:rRNA from 1 species
GUGCCAGCAGCCGCGGUAAUACGUAGGGUGCAAGCGUUGUCCGGAAUCAUUGGGCGUAAAGCGCGCGUAGGUGGCUUCGUAAGUCCGUUGUGAAAGUCAAAGGCUCAACCUUUGAAUGCCGAUGGAUACUGCGAAGCUAGAGUACGGAAGAGGCGAGUGGAAUUCCUGGUGUAGCGGUGGAAUGCGCAGAUAUCAGGAGGAACACCAAUAGCGAAGGCAGCUCGCUGGGACGUUACUGACACUAAGGCGCGAAAGCGUGGGGAGCGAACAGGAUUAGAUACCCUGGUAGUCC